rnacentral:tRNA from 1 species
AGCAGCGCGGCUCAGUGGAAAGAGCACGGGCUUGGGAGUCGGAGGAUGUGGGUUCAAAUCCCACCUCCGCCA